AGAAAACAGGGCACGACAGUCCAAAGUACGGGAAAUCAGCUACUACAUUAUACACUGUGUGAGCGGCUCCGUGAAAGCAAGAACAUUGCAGAUCCAGAUAGUAAAACCCGCUGCCAACAGCAAUAAAGACAGGCUGUGAGCAAUUUAAUUGAAUUAUCUGGAAGGGAGACCGCCAACCGUGCGUCCAGUUUCCAGGUAACCUCGAGUGCUUUUCGCACCGUGGUUGGCGGCAUGGGGACGGCUUUCCACCCUAAGCUUCUUUCUAACCCACUUAUCCUGGAGAUUGCUGCAGCUGUCUGCCUGGAAACGUGAGCCACAGCCUGACUGUCUCUACAUGAGUAACAUGAGCCCAGACUCCGACCCUGGGCAAGCCACCGUGGCACCGGGGCCUUACCACUGAAGCCUCCCGUACCCUGUAGAUGAGCAUUUAAUUAUUCUUGUUUUACUCAACAACAGUAGGAGGCUCUCAGAAAGAGACGAAUAAAUCAGAUAGAGGUCAUAGUAGAGACGCCACCUGAUAAAACCUACCUCUGAGGCUCAGCCUGGGGAACUCAAGAGAACUAAUGUCAGCUAAGAGGUAACAUGAAUACUGGCCAAUGACACUUUUCCAGGUAGAGGUGGGGUUCAGGCACUGGAGCCUUCUGGUAGGAAGUCUGUGAGCAAUGACUUCUGGCUUCUUUG